rnacentral:rRNA from 1 species
AGUGAACGCUGGCGGUAGGCCUAACACAUGCAAGUCGAACGGCAGCACAGUAAGAGCUUGCUCUUACGGGUGGCGAGUGGCGGACGGGUGAGGAAUACAUCGGCAUCUACUUUUUCGUGGGGGAUAACGUAGGGAAACUUACGCUAAUACCGCAUACGACCUACGGGUGAAAGCAGGGGAUCUUCGGACCUUGCGCGAUUGAAUGAGCCGAUGUCGGAUUAGCUAGUUGGCGGGGUAAAGGCCCACCAAGGCGACGAUCCGUAGCUGGUCUGAGAGGAUGAUCAGCCACACUGGAACUGAGACACGGUCCAGACUCCUACGGGAGGCAGCAGUGGGGAAUAUUGGACAAAGGGCGCAAGCCUGAUCCAGCCAUACCGCGUGGGUGAAGAAGGCCUUCGGGUUGUAAAGCCCUUUUGUUGGGAAAGAAAAGCAGCAGGUUAAUACCCCGCUGUUCUGACGGUACCCAAAGAAUAAGCACCGGCUAACUUCGUG